rnacentral:rRNA from 1 species
CAGACCUCUAAUCGGAAAAGACCACCCGCCGAAUUUAA